CUUUCUCACCCCCUCUACCGUGCCUAUCAUGUGCAGAACUCAGCAGUUUAGGACCCAGGAGCCUAGAAGAACAACAGGGACAGAACCGCCAUGCCUGCUGCCACCUUGGACUCUGAGAAGGACAGACCCGAUCGCCCUGGGCACCGGCAUCCCUCACCUCUCCAGCAACGGCCUGGCCAGCCCUGGGACCCAGCCUUCCAAGACUACUGCACAGUACAUGCUCCGGUCCUGCCCC